rnacentral:rRNA from 1 species
UACGUAGGGCGCAAGCGUUGUCCGGAAUUAUUGGGCGUAAAGAGCUCGUAGGCGGUCUGCCGCGUCGGAUGUGAAAGCCCGGGGCUCAACUCCGGGCUUGCAUUCGAUACGGGCAGGCUAGAGUUCGGUAGGGGAGUCUGGAAUUCCUGGUGUAGCGGUGAAAUGCGCAGAUAUCAGGAGGAACACCGGUGGCGAAGGCGGGACUCUGGGCCGAUACUGACGCUGAGGAGCGAAAGCGUGGGGAGCGAACAGG